GGCCCAGUAGUUUCAGAGGAGAAGAUUUUUGUAAAAGAUAACUAAGAUUUACGGAAAAUGGUUAAAAAUUGACUAUAAAGGGCCAUAACUCCUAAAGGGGUCAACUGACCAUUUCGGUCAUGUUGACUUAUUUGUAAAUCUUACUUUGCUGAACAUUUUUGCUGUUUACAGUUUAUCUCUAUCUAUAAUAAUAUUCAUGAUAAUAACCAAAAACAGCAAAAUUUCCUUAAAAUAACCAAUUCAGAGGCAGCAACCUAACAAUCGGUUGUCUGAUUCAUCUGAAAAUUUCAGGGCAGAUAGAUCUUGACCUGAUAAACCAUUUAACCUCUGUCAGAUUUGCUCUAAAUGCUUUGGUUUUUGAGUUAUAAGCCAAAAACUGAUUUUACCCCUAUGUUCUAUUUUUAGCCAAGGUGGCCAUCUUGGUUGGUUGGCCGGGUCACCGGACACAAUUUUUAAACUAGAUACCCCAAUGAUGAUUGUUGCCAAGUUUGGUUCAAUUUGGCCCAGUAGUUUUAGAGGAGAAGAUUUUUGUAAAAGAUAACUAAGAUUUACGGAAAAUGGUUAAAAAUUGACUAUAAAGGGCCAUAACUCCUAAAGGGGUCAACUGACCAUUUUGGUCAUGUUGAC
rnacentral:lncRNA from 1 species